AUUGAACGCUGGCGGCAUGCCUUACACAUGCAAGUCGAACGGUAACGCGGGGCAACCUGGCGACGAGUGGCGAACGGGUGAGUAAUGCAUCGGAACGUGCCUGGUAAUGGGGGAGUAACUGCUCGAAAGAGCAGCUAAUACCGCAUACGACCUGAGGGUGAAAGGGGGGGAGUCGCAAGACCUCCCGUUAUCAGAGCGGCCGAUGUCGGAUUAGCUAGUUGGUGGGGUAAAAGCCCACCAAGGCGACGAUCCGUAGCUGGUCUGAGAGGACGACCAGCCACACUGGAACUGAGACACGGUCCAGACUCCUACGGGAGGCAGCAGUGGGGAAUCUUAGACAAUGGGCGCAAGCCUGAUCUAGCCAUGCCGCGUGAGCGAUGAAGGCCUUAGGGUUGUAAAGCUCUUUCAGUGGGGAAGAUAAUGACUGUACCCACAGAAGAAGCCCCGGCUAACUCCGUG
rnacentral:rRNA from 1 species